AGAUGUACUAUGGACUUCUACGAUCAUAACGCAACUUGAAAAUCGGAAAACGGAUGUCGGGAAGGCUUCCAAAUAAAUCCCCGAAGUUAAGGUCUCAAAAUAAAAAUAAGUGUUGGAAUGUUUUUAUCAAAUUUUCAAGAUAUGACUUCUUUCAACUCACUCCGAAGGUUUAAACGUCACAAAAAACAUACAGGGUAUUACAAUAAUAUGCUCAACAAAUUCCUGUGGCAGUAUAUCCUUCAAUCUAUUGACUUCCCACUGCCCUUAUGUUACCACAUCCUUCACUAUGUUAACAUUAUCAUCCCAUUCCUGAUCUUCUCCUUUGAUACUAUAUAAAUCUCCCAUUCCUG
rnacentral:lncRNA from 1 species